UUACAAAAUUUAAUUAUUUUCAAAAUUUUACCAUCAUUAACCGAUGCAAACUGCAGUGACAGUUCUUCAUUCUUACUUUUCGAUGAAGAUAAUUUUGCAUGAUUUACAUGGAGCCGUUCAAUUUUUAUCAGAUAAUGCGACUUUAAAGAUGGGAGAGGAUAAGUUUGAGGAAGAAAAGUUUAUGAAAGCUUUGGUUAAUCUAAAGGAUACACAGGAGUCUAUUCAGGGCUUCUCGGGAUGGUGUAUGAAGAACAGGAAAUCUGCUUACAAGAUGGCAAGAUGCUGGACAAAGGUGAUCAAGAAGGUCCGCGUAGAGCAGAAGCUUGUUCUCUUCUACCUUGUCAACGAUAUUGUUCAGCACGCCUCCAAGAAGAUGUACACGGAGCUGCUGGACAAGUUCAGAGGAGCGAUCAAGGAGGCUAUGCCACACCUCAAGGAGGAGAAGAUUGCAUACAAGGUACAGCGAUGUCUUGCCAUAUGGGACGAAAGAGUGGUUUUCGACUCGGAGUAUAUAAAGGAGCUGACCGCUUUGAUAGAUAUGACACCAGUAAAGGAAGAUCAGGAGAUCAUCGAGAACUUUCAAUCCACUGAACUUUGUAAACAGGUAAAGAUAAUGAAAGCUCUGGAGGAUGAUGCAGAUUAUAAACUGAAAACAUUAAAGGAGAAUGAUAACGAACUCAAGGAUAUUGAUGCAAUCAAAACCAAACUCAAGGACAAAUCCUGUGGAGACGAAUAUGUUUCUCAGUUUGAGGACGGAACCAAGAGGAUGGAGGCUUACAUCAAGGCAAUGGAACGGGAGGUCACAAAGAGAAAACAGGUGAUAGAGUUGUUAACCCAGGGAAAGAAGUAUUAUGAUAGUCUGUAUGGGGAAGCUGAGAUUGUCGCCACAGCAUACGCUAAUUUCGGAAACAGAGUGAAGAAGGUGCACAUGAAACUGGAGGAGAAGCUUCCAACCUUAUCUAUCCCUGCAGCACCUCCUCCCCCUGGUAUAGGAGUAGAGUCCCCGGUACCUAGUCCAGACUAUGAUGCUCCUUCACCACAAGCAGAGGACGAGAUGGAACUUAAACUACCUGAUGAUGACGAGCCGGGUACUCCAGAUUACCCUCCGCCACCCAACUAUCAACCUCCUAGCUCAGGAAACCUCAACGCCCGCCUCUCCGCCAUGGAUCCCUCAGCGUUCGCCGCGGACAUGUCAACAACUCCGUCACCGGAGCCAAGAAAGGAUUACCGCAGAUCUGCAUCUUACGAUCAUAGAGAUCGGGGGAGGGAUAGGGAUCGAUCUAGAGAGCGGUCUAGAGAGAGGAACAGAGAUCGUUCAAGAGAGAGACAUCGGGAGAGAGAUCGCUCAAGGGAUAACGAUCGUUCCUCCCGAUCGCGUGAUCGUGAGGAUCGGGAGAGGGACAUAAAGAGAGAAGCUAUGACGAUCCCUCGAAACAAUAUAAGUGAUUUUCUAACUAAAAUCGCGCACGGCGAGCGAUUAGAUCUUCAGGGAUAUCGGCACGAAGAAAACGGAGACUCGAAACGCCGAAGGAUCUCCGACAGUGAUAUAGACGGGUUCCCACUUCUGGACUCCGUUCCAGACCUAUUCUCCAGGCUAAGCUCUGUUCCAGACCUUAUCUCUAACAAGAGCUCCGUUCCAGAAUACCCCCCGCCUCCUAAGCUCUCACAAGACUGGGACCAAGGCUAUAAGGAAAACUUGUAUCCCCAGGACCCACGUUCUAAAUCCCCUGUAUCCUGUCUCCCACCGGAGGAUCAGAGUGUUUACACUCUGAUCUCUAGCCCGGCCCAGGAGGUCUGGAGGGAACCGGUUCCUGACUGGCUGCAGGUUGAUGAAGAUGAAGAGGUUCAGAUUGUGGAAAAUCAAGCGCUGGAACGAUUAAGGAAAGCCGCAAGCAAGAAUACACCCGGUGGUUCCAAUCUAAUCAGUCUUACAGGGUCCCCUGUAGUCAGAGAUUCAGGACUGGUUGGUAAAAGUCGGAACCCUGAGGAUAUGGAUCUCAGUGAUGAUGAGGAAGGAGAGAUUAGAGAUGCACAGCUUGAGAAUUCAUGGAACCAGAGCUUUGCCGGAGACAGGGAGUCCACCACUCCACCCCUUCCCUUCCCCGGGGGCACCAGGCCCUUUCAGGCAGGUUUACCUGUCCCUGGACCUAACAGUUUUAAACCAGCGGAUACUGUUACAGUUCCUCCUCCGCCUUUUUCUGUUCCGCCUCCACUUACAAAUCAUAAAGGCGGAUGGAUUAAUAGUCUCAAAGGGGGAGAUUCAUCUGCUUUGCAUUCUUUUCCUCCGCCCAGCUUUAACUCGGAGCCUGUGAGGAAAACAUUGAUAAACCAACCUCCAAACCUUGCCGACUCGCACAAUUCAAACAGUUCAAAUAAUUCACUCGUUACCCCUCAAGUCCCUCCUUUCUCCGCUAACAAUUCAUUCAGAGACGAGGAAUUGAAUCCUCGGAUGGUAGAUGACUCGUUGAAUCCGUUCUCAGAUCAGGAUUACAUGGAUCCUGGGUUCGAAAAUGAGUUUCCAAAUACCGGAUCCUCGUUCAACCAAGGACAAGUGCACGGUUCUAAUCCUGGAUUCCAGGGAGAAAUAAACCAGGAUAUGCUCAACAGUGAUUUCAAUACGUUUCGAGGGAAUAGAGGAGGGUUCUCCGCCCCUGGAGAGUCACCUCGAGGUGGGUUCCGUGGCCGUGGUGGUGGAAUUGGAUUUGAGAGAACCAACAGUUCACCAGAAAAGAUGUUUUGGGGAGAUAGAGGUCGUGGUUCUCCUCGUGGGGGCGGCUAUGGACGCGCUGGAAUGAACAGUGAUCGAGGUGGAGUUAACUUGGGUCCAGGCGGAGGAAUGAAUAAUGGCGGAAGUGGGAUUAACAAUGAUGCAGUGACUAUGAACCGAGGCGGAGGUUUUACUAGUGACAGAGGACGUGGGCGAGCUGAUUUCAAUCGCGGUGGAGGAUUUGACCGCGGGAGUGGAGGAUUUAAUCGAGGGGGCGGAGGAUUUGAACGAGGCAGCGGAGGAUUUAAUCGAGGUGGUGGAGGAUUUGAACGAGGCAGUGGAGGAUUUGAUCGAGGCGGUGGCGGAUUUAACCGCGGCAGUGGAGGUUUUGACCGAGGCCGAGGGAGCUUCAACCGCGGUGGAUUUGGAGGUCACACACCCGAAGGAGGGGUAGGGCGAGGAGCAAUGGAGAGGGGUAGAAGACCCUGGAGGGGGGGAAGGGGUUCAUGGUAACACCAAUCCCUCCCAAUCCCUUCCUCACAUACUCCCUUAGUUUCAAGGGAUUGAUUUAUCAAAGGCUGUGCAUAGUUUAUGUUUACUGUUUGGGUUUCUGCUUGAUAGACAUGGCAGUGAACGUUCUCAAGGUCUUUCAUGAAAGUUGCAGGAACGACCUUACUCCGAGGUCUCCUCUCUAUGACCUUCCACUCUCCUUACUCAAGGCUUAGGUUGUAGUUACACAUUUUGGGGACUUCUUUCAAGGUUUAGAAUCUCAGGGUCUAUUUCAAUAUUGCACUCAAG
rnacentral:misc_RNA from 1 species